rnacentral:rRNA from 1 species
GACGAACGCUGGCGGCGUGCUUAACACAUGCAAGUCGAACGAUGAAGAAAAGAAUUGAUGCUUCGGCAGAAAUUCAUUUCGGAUUAGUGGCAGACGGGUGAGUAACGCGUGAGCAACCUACCUCUUACAAAGGGAUAGCCUCGGUAAUCCGGGAUUAAUACCAUAUAACAUUGCGACGAUGCAUUUCGCUGCAAUCAAAGCUACGGCUGGAAGCGCUGUGCGUUCGUCCCAUUAACCAGAUGGUGAGGUAACGGCUCACCAUAGUAACGAUGGGUAACCGGGAUGGGAAGGUGAACGGUAACACUGGGACUGAGACACGGACCAGACCCCUACGGGAGGAAGCAGUGGGGAAUAUGGCACAAUGGAGGGAAGUCUGAUGCAGCGACGCCGCGUGAGUGAUGAAGGAAUUCGUAUCGUAAGACUCUGUUCUAUGGGAAGAAAAGGACUGUAACAAAGGAGAAAGCGCCGGCUAAAUACGUG